rnacentral:misc_RNA from 1 species
CCUGAAUAAAAAAAAAAAGCACAGGAAAUUGGUUGGUGCAUUCGUAUCUUCAUGGAAAAGGAAAUUGCAUGUAAUUGGCAUCAAAUCUAUCCUUCCCAAUAAACACAUCUUUUAUAAGAAUUGAAGACAUGAUAUUGCAUUUCAUAUAUUGAAAUUACCACAAGGACUCCACAUAUCAACUCAAGCAGACACGAACUGCUUUCCAAAAGACAUAGACAGCUCUGUUUUUGUCGGGCCAAAUCCUAAAAAGCCUUCCAAACAGAUAU